rnacentral:rRNA from 1 species
CAAGGAACUAAGAGUUUAUGGGGGAUACCUUGGCAUUCAGAAGCGAUGAAGGACGUGGUUACCGACGAUACGCUUCGGGGAGCUGGAAACAAGCUAUGAUCCGGAGGUCUCCGAAUGAGGCAACUUUUUAACUACUUAUUGAAUUCAUAGAUAAGAAAGAGCGAACCUAGAGAAUUGAAACAUCUUAGUACCUAGAGGAAAAGAAAGUAAAAACGAUUCCCUGAGUAGCGGCGAGCGAAACGGGAUUAGCCUAGAGCGA